rnacentral:rRNA from 5 species
UGACCUCAGAUCAGAC